ensembl:miRNA mir-256 ncRNA
GCAAGGAGUGCAGAGGCUUACUAUGAGACGGUCAAGAGGCGCCUCCGUCACGUGGAUACGUCGGGUGGAAUGCAUAGAAGACUGUACUCAAAAAAUUUUAC